rnacentral:rRNA from 1 species
GUGGGGAAUCUUCCGCAAUGGACGAAAGUCUGACGGAGCGACGCCGCGUGAGUGAAGAAGGCCUUCGGGUCGUAAAGCUCUGUCAUCAGGGACGAACGGCCGGUGGAGUGGAAAGCCACCGGAUUGACGGUACCUGAGAAGGAAGCCACGGCUAACUACGUGCCAGCAGCCGCGGUAAUACGUAGGUGGCAAGCGUUGUCCGGAAUUAUUGGGCGUAAAGCGCGCGCAGGUGGGAUCUUAAGUCCAUUUUUAAAGUUCGGAGCUCAACUCCGUGAUGGGAUGGAAACUGGGAUUCUUGAGUACCGGAGAGGAAAGCGGAAUUCCCCGUGUAGCGGUGAAAUGCGUAGAUAUGGGGAGGAACACCAGUGGCGAAGGCGGCUUUCUGGACGGUGUCUGACACUGAGGCGCGAAAGCCAGGGGAGCGAACGGGAUUAGAUACCCUAGUAGUC